rnacentral:rRNA from 2 species
CAAUAGCGUAUUGUAAAGUUGUUGCAGUUAAAAAGCUCGUAGUUGGAUUUCGGGCUCGACGGCGACGGUCAGCCGCAAGGUAUGUCACUGUCGACGUUGGCCUUCUUCGCGCAGACUUCGCGUGCUCUUAACUGAGUGUGCGUUGGAUACGCGACGUUUACUUUGAAAAAAUUAGAGUGUUCAAAGCAGGCUUGUGCUUGGAUACAUAAGCAUGGAAUAAUGGAAUAGGACUUUGGUUCUAUUUUCCGUUGGUUUCUGGAACCGAAGUAAUGAUUAAUAGGGACAGUUGGGGGCAUUCGUAUUUCGUUGUCAGAGGUGAAAUUCUUGGAUUUACGAAAGACGAACUAAUGCGAAAGCAUUUGCCAAGAAUGUUUUCAUUAAUCAAGAACGAAAGUUAGAGGAU